GAUGAAGAACGUAGCGAAAUGCGAUACGUAAUGUGAAUUGCAGAAUUCAGUGAAUCAUCGAAUCUUUGAACGCAAAUUGCGCUCUUUGGUAUUCCGAAGAGCAUGCUUGUUUGAGUAUCAUGAACACCUCAACUCUUUAUGGUUUUCCAUGAUGAGCUUGGACUCUGGGGGUUUUGCUGGCUCACAGUCGGCUCCUCUAAAAUGAAUCAGCUUACCAGUGUUUGGUGGGUAUCAUGGGUGUGAUAACUAUCUACGCUUGUGGUUUUUCCACCAGGUAACCUUCAGCAGUGGAGGUUCGCUGGAGCUCAUAGAUGUCUCUCCUCAAUGAGGACAGCCCUUUGAAUGUUUGAUCUCAAAUCAGGUAGGACUACCCGCUGAACUUAAGCAUAUCAAUAAGCGGAGGA
rnacentral:misc_RNA from 1 species